GUAGCCUUCUUCGUGAAGGGGGCGGUGCUCUGCGCCGCCGCCGACCGGAGCCACGUGCACGGCAGCUGCCACUCGAGCCCCUUCAAGGUGGUCCUGGUGUGCAUAUAUGGCUAUUGGGACCCUAGUAGGCCCAUCGCUUUCGUUUACUCCUCGGAGACUGGCGUAUGGCACAAUCUCCCCUUGGCCAAAGCUCCUUCUGAGCAGUACCAUUUUGCUAACUCUGGGGUCGUCGUCGGUAAUGUCCUUUAUUGGUCGUCCAUGUCAACAAUAGGCCACAUGUUGAGCUGCUCGACGCCUCCCGCAGUCCUGGAUACGGCCCUAGUCAAAAUAGUUGAGAUUGAUUUGGAUGGGCAAAGCCUAGCUGUGACCAAGGGGCCUCCCAGUAUGAAAGGUUCCAGCAGCCAUCAGGUCAUCAAGGCAGAGGAUGGCGACAUUGGUGUCGCCAUGUUAUCUUACCCUAACAUGGAAAUAUGGCAGAGGAAGGUCAAUUGUCAUGGUCAUGCUACGUGGUUGUGGCACAAGACCGUUGACAUGGAUACCAUUCUCGCCCCCCCUCCCCAGAUUACGGGAGCGAGGACGUCUAAGGAAAUACUGGAUUAUGAUGAGGAUAAUGGUGUAUUUUUUUUAUGUGUGGACACAUAUGUCUACAUGGUUCAGCUUGAAGCAAUGCAAUCCAGGAAACUUUCUGAAAAACUCUCCUAUGUCCAGGUGUUUCAUCCUUUCAAAAGUUUCUAUACACCAGGCUGGUCAGGGCGCCAAUCAAGCGCAACGGCGUCGCCAAAAUCCGUAUCAGUACAUCAGGACACAGCAGCAGCAGCAGCUCCCUGCACAGCGUUGGCAUCAACAGCCGCAGCAGCAGAUUCAAGCAGAUCCUCAACAGCAGCAGCAGCAGCAGCGUCAGACUCAACAGGGGCAGCAGAAUCAGGCCCCUCGCGGGGGUGGUGGAUGAGGUGGACCUGCUGGUGGAUGCCGCCCUCAACGACCUCCCCAACAGACAACUGAGGAGGUGCAGGAACAGUUGCUGCAGUUCUCGUUGAGCAUGCCGCGUUGCAUCAAUGUGGUCGGCAAUGCUUAUGUUAUCUGAAAAGGCUUGCUGAAUGCAUGGGUUUGCCUUAGCCUAGCCAAGUUCCUAACGUGCCGAGAUGAUUUUCAAAUGAAUAUCUGCAACCAACCUAGCCAAGUUUCUAAUGUGCCGAGAUGAUUUUCAAAUGAAUAUCUCCAACCAGCUUAGCCAAGUUUCUAAUGUGCCGAGAUGAUUUUCAAAUGAAUAUCUCCAACCCAGGGAACUUCAGCUUCCCCGUGUAAUAUUUUAGUCGAAAUCUUGCCGUGUCUUGUUUUUUUCAUGAUUCUGCUUGGCAGCUGUUCUCUUC